UGGGGUGUUAAUAGAGAGCGGGUCACACCUGUUCCCAUUCCGAACACAGAAGUUAAGCCGCUCAUCGGUGAUGGUACUGCGCGGGCAGCUGCGCGGGAGAGUAGCACGAUGCCCCAU
rnacentral:rRNA from 1 species